GAUGAACGCUGGCGGCGUGCCUAAUACAUGCAAGUCGAGCGAACAGACGAGGAGCUUGCUCCUCUGACGUUAGCGGCGGACGGGUGAGUAACACGUGGAUAACCUACCUAUAAUACUGGUAUAACUUCGGGAAACCGGAGCUAAUACCGUAUAAUAUCUUGAACCGCAUGGUUCAAUAGUGAAAGACGGUUUUUAUGUCACUAAUAGAUGGAUCCGCGCCGCAUUAGGUAGUUGGUAAGGUAACGGCUUACCAAGGCAACGAUGCGUAGCCGACCUGAGCGAGUGUUAGGCCACACUAGAAGUGAGCCACGGUCCAGGCUGCUACGGGAGGCAGCAGUAGGGAAUCUUCGGCAAUGGGCGCGAGCAUGACGGAGCAGCGCCAAGUGCGUGGUAAAGAUCUUAGGAUCGUGAUAAUCUGUUACUAGGGAAGAACCACUGUGUAAGUAACUAUAGACGGCUUGACGGUACUUAGUCAGGAAGCCCCGGCUAACUACGUG
rnacentral:rRNA from 1 species